GAGGGUAUAGCUCGAGAGGUAGAGCACAUGCUUAGCAUGCAUGAGGUCCGGGGUUCAGUCCCCAGUACUUCCU
rnacentral:tRNA from 1 species